UACGGAAGGGGCAAGCGUUUGUUCGGAAUCAUUGGGCGUAAAGGGCGCGUAGGUGGUUCUGUAUGUCUACCGUGAAAGCGUACGGCUCAACCGUAUUUUGUCGGUAGAAACUGCAGGACUUGAGGCUGGGAGGGGCUGGUGGAAUUCCCUGUGUAGCGGUGAAAUGCGUAGAGAUGGGGGAGAACACUCGUGGCGAAGGCGGCCAGCUAGACCAGUUCUGACACUGAGGCGCGACAGCGUGGGGAGCAAACAGG
rnacentral:rRNA from 1 species